rnacentral:misc_RNA from 1 species
AAGUCGUAACAAGGUUUCCGUAGGUGAACCUGCGGAAGGAUCAUUAACACGUAUCCACGUAUCAACCAACCGCGAACUUGUUUCUCUCCCUUCUAUGCACAUGAACUGGAAUUCUACGAGGUUUUGAGUGGGGCUCUCGGGCCAGCCUCGUAGAACUACUGGCUUAGCGCUUCAUUGCGCGGCUGACAGUUGGAGUGUAUCGGAGGCAAUUCUUCUGCUAGUCAGGUCUCCAUUCAAGACUCGACUAGUGGGAAUCACACUAACUUAUUUAACCCCCUUUUUGCUAGUUGACUUUAUUAUGUUGUGAUCAGUGAGGAUUAUUCCAAUCUAAUCGCACACGUUUAAUUAUUUGAACGUUAAAGAAACAACUCUUAGCAAUGGAUAUCUUGGUUCUC